AGCAGCCGCGGUAAUUCCAGCUCCAAUAGCGUAUAUUAAAGUUGUUGCAGUUAAAAAGCUCGUAGUUGAAUUUCGGGAUCAGUAUGUCGGUCGUGCUUCGGUACGUACUGUCAUUACUGGUUUCUCCCUUCUGAAGAACCAUGAUGUCAUUAAUUUGAUGUCUUGGGAAAUCAGGACUGUUACUUUGAAAAAAUUAGAGUGUUUAAAGCAGGCAUACGCUUGAAUACAUUAGCAUGGAAUAAUGAAAUAGGACGUUUGAUUCUAUUUUGUUGGUUUCUAGGAUCGACGUAAUGAUUAAUAGGGAUAGUUGGG
rnacentral:rRNA from 1 species